CAUAUAUAUAUGUUUCUGUGAAUAUGUAUAUGUAUAUAUAAAUAUAUGUAUAUAUUUAUAUUAUAAUGAUAUUAUAAUAUAUGUUAUAUUUAUAUUUAUAUUACAUAUAUUAACAUAAACAUACACAAACAACACAGACUUAAUUAAUUUUUAAAUAAUUUCUUGACAUACAUGCAUACAUACAGGGGUGUAAUUACGCAGCAAUUAAAAAAAAAUGUCAUUUGUACAGAGAACAUUUCACUCGAGCAACAAAUUUACUACAUAUAUUAUACAUAUAUACGUACAGGUGCACACAUAUAUAUGUAUAUACAAAUAUAUAUAUGUAUGUAUGUAUCAAAAUCACACUAACACAUAUACAUCACACGGCCAUUUCUCAAUAUUGUUAUCAUCGGCCCGGUGACUUAACGCGAUUAUUAGAAUUACAAUGUAUAAAGAUGAGAGAGAAAGAAAAAUACACACAUUGUUGCUCUAUAUAGCAAUAUAUAUAUAUAUAUAUAUGUAUGUCUGUAUGUAUGUAUAUAUAUAUGUGUGUGUAUGCUAAAAAAAAUAGCUAAAUCACGACACGAAAGAAAAAAUAUAAAGUGUUGCUUAUGUUUGGACGAAAAAGAAAAUCGCGUGAGAUAAUGCGAAAUCGACAUUUAACGAAGACAAUAUGUGCUUAAGGAAAAAAAAAAAAAGAAAUUAACGAAAAGAAAAAAAGCAAGAAGAAGAAAAAGAACAGAGCCAAUAUGUGAGAAAUAGUUACGAGACAACAAUCCUUUUUAGGAUUGCUCUUGUCGAAAAUAUGAUAGAACGGAAUGUUGUUUUUAGAUGAGAAUCAUCUAGUUAGUGGCUCUGAUGUGGUAUAGUAUGUUAUAUAAAAUUAUUAUAAAACAAAGAAAUAAUAAUAAUAAUAAUAAUAAUAAUAAUAAAAUAAUAAUAAUAAUAAAUUGUGAGAAAGAGGGAUGAGUGAUAUAAAGAGAGAGAGAGAGAGAGAGAGAGAGAGAGAGAGAGAGAGAGAGAGAGAGAGAGAGAGAGGAUAUCUUCGUUCGUUCCCCAAUAUCCAAGGACCGAAUAUGCGAAGAUCGAUAAAAGAAAAAAGAAAAAGAUUAAUAAAAAAAAAAAAAAAUAAAAAAUAAAAUAAAAUAAAAUACAAAACAAAUGAUUUCAACCGCUCGAUCGCAAGCUGAUAUAUAAAUAAGAUGUAUUCCUAUAAAUCUCGUAAAUAUUUAUAAAAAUUGUUUUAUGAUACUUAACGUACGAACAUAUAGUUAAGAAACGUUUCUCCUUCGUGUGUCUUUGUAGUUGAUAAUAAUUAGAAGAGGGAAAAGUGAGAAAAGAUUUAAAAAAAAAAGAUAUAUAAAAAAGAAAAAAGCGUGUGUGUGUGUGAGAGAAAGAGAGAAAGAGAGAGAGAGAGAGAGAGAAAGAGAAAGAGAUGAAUAAUACUUCGUUGUCCCGAAAGAAAUUCGUUUGUUCAUUUCGAACGAACAGAUCCACAUUAUUAUAUUAUAUCUCACUCUCAGCUUAUUUUUAAUCAGAUCUUUAUCUCGCUUUUUGUGUAAAUCUCUAUUACGCGUCCUGAUCUCGAUUCUGAGCUGAGAGUCGUGAUUCUAUUUAAUUAGAAUCACACCAACGACCGACGAGAAUCGAGAAACAGCAUAUUAUUGUAUUAUACAAAGAAAAAGAGAGAAAGAGAAAGGAUGGGCCAAAAGUACUUAGAGAUGGGCCAAAAACGUCUAAGUAAUUUUAAAAAUCAAAAUAUUCUUUUUCAAGACUCUUUGGGCUUAUAGUUGAACUUAUAGUUUUACAAGUUAAAUAAUCUGUUGUUUUACAAUCUGAGAAAAAAUAAAAGUUUAGCCUGAAAGGUCUCGAGAAAGAGUAAUUGAUUUUUUCUUCUUUUUUUCUUUAUAUAUAUAUAUAUAUAUAUUCUUUUCUUUUUCUUUUUCUUUUUUUUUUUCUAACGACCCUUUAAGAACUUUUGGCCCACUCGAAAGCUUUCGACCCAUUCCCGAUCUUGUAAAUUUUUGUCGUCUUUUCCGAAUAUUUGUAAGAUCGAUUCGAGACCGAGAACUUGAUUGAUUGGCCAUAAGCCUAUAAUCGUAAUAAAGAUCGAGAAGGAAUAAAAAAAAAGUAAAUUAAUAAUAAUAAAAAGAGGAAGAGGAAGAAGAAGAAAAAGAAGAUAGAAAGAAGAAGAGUUUGAACGUUAAACGUAUGCUGCCAUAUGCGAAAUAAAUAAACAAAGAUCAAACACACAUACAAUCGACAAUUGUUUUGUUAUAUACAUACACACACAUACACACAUACACAUAUAUUAGUCUAUUUAACAUACAACGUUAAGAAUUAUCUUCUGUGAUUUUGAAGCAGUAUCAGUUUGGAAUAAGAAAAGCGCUUCGAACGGAAGUUAAUUAUAGUCGACAAUGAUAAAUAUAUGUUAUCAGAAGGAAAA